UGUCCUUACGCCACCUUAGGCGCAGCACUGUUAAUUCGAACACAACAGUGAAUGGUGGCUCGUACCCGUAUGGACAAGAAAAUUCCUUCUCUAGCCCAGGAUCGAACUCAGUACCUUACGGUUGCGAAAUACUGAGCCGACGCUUCUGGCUUCUAACCACCAAGCUACGGACGCUGUGUUUAAUGAAACAACUCUGAGUAAAAAGCAUCAACGAAAAAUGUAUCCAUGUUGUCUAUAGGGCCUUUUUUUUUCCCGACUUUUUCUUCUUGAGUUUACGUUUGGAAUAUAACGUAAAAUAUAAGAGUGCUGUCGACAGAGAAUUCAAUUUACCUAAGACCCAAGAACAUCAAGGAUACUGAACGAGCGCUGCAGAUUUUUGGUUUAUGUUCAAUUUUUGUCUUCACGAGUUUGGACUCACAGGAUUGAGAAUUGGUGACGUAGUUUUAAUAAUAGUUUCAAUCCUGCUGUUCAUCAAACUGGUAUGUACAGAUAAUUUCGCUUUCGAUUGCUGGUACCAAUCAAGAAUACCUUGUGACAUAGGAACUUUUCUAGUGAAGUUGAUUUUGGAGUUUUGACAUUAAUAAGUGAAUAUCUGAAUAUCUGAACCUAUAGAGUAAAUACACAUAUAAAUGAUCAUUAUUGUUUAAAUACAAAAUUUGUCAACUGAUCUUGAUCAAGUGAGGUGCACCUUCAAUAUUUUUUUGUGAAAGCUUUAAUAUUAUUACGUUACUACUUAAUGUUAGGCUCAAGAUUUUGUUGGAAAUUUCGCUAGAAUUGUGCUCGAAUUCGACGUUACAUAUUAAAUUCUUUUCAUAUUC